rnacentral:rRNA from 1 species
CCCAAGUGGCGGUGCUAUACAUGCGUCGAGCGGACAGAAGGGAGCUUGCUCCCUGAUGUUAGCGGCGGACGGGUGAGUAACACGUGGGUAACCUGCCUGUAAGACUGGGAUAACUCCGGGAAACCGGGGCUAAUACCGGAUGCUUCCUUGAACCGCAUGGUUCAAGGAUGAAAGACGGCUUCGGCUGCCACUUACAGAUGGACCCGCGGCGCAUUAGCUAGUUGGUGAGGUAACGGCUCACCAAGGCAACGAGCGUAGCCGACCUGAGAGGGUGAUCGGCCACACUGGGACUGAGACACGGCCCAGACUCCUACGGGAGGCAGCAGUAGGGAAUCUUCCGCAAUGGACGAAAGUCUGACGGAGCAACGCCGCGUGAGUGAUGAAGGUUUUCGGAUCGUAAAGCUCUGUUGUUAGGGAAGAACAAGUGCCAGACUAACUGGUUGCACCUUGACCGGACCUAACCCAAAAGCCCCCGGUUACUUCCUGCCCACCACCCCGGGAAUACCUAAGGGGCAAGCGUUGGCCCGAAUUAUUGGGCGUAAAGGGGUCCCAGGGGGGUUCUUUAGUCUGAUGGGAAAACCCCCCGGUCCACCCGGGAAGGGCAUUGGAAACUGGGAAACUUGAAUGGCAAAGAAGAAAAUGGAAUUCCACCUGGAACCGUGAAAUGCCUAAAAAUGGGGAAGAACACCCAUGGCCAAAGGCAAUUUUUGGUCUGGAACUGACCCUUAAGAACCAAAACGUGGGGAACCAACCGGAAUAAAUACCCUGGGAAUUCACCCCCUAAACCAUGAAUGGUUAAUGGUAGGGGGUUUCCGGCCCUUAGUGGUGGCGCCUACGGAUUAAGCACUCCGCCUGGGGAGUACGGUUGCCAGACUGAAACUCCAAGGAAUUGACGGGGGCCCGCACAAGCGGUGGAGCAUGGGGUUUAUUUGAA